GAAGGAAGCCAUAUUCAUUCGACAACACAACGCAGAGAUACAUGCGGCGUCAACCCAGAGAAUGAUUAGAUAAAUAGAGAAAACGGAUAUAAUUUGCUUAUUAUCUGAUUACCAGCUCUGCACAGCAGACUUGUAACACUAGCAGCAGUGGAAAUUGAGCAUCAGAACCUGGAGAAUACAGCAACAACAACAAGGAUCCAUUUGAAGAUAGCUGCCUGGGCCUAGCAGCAAG